rnacentral:misc_RNA from 1 species
UCCGGCUUAUCACCGGCGGUUUCCUUAGAGUGCCCAACUAAAUGAUGGCAACUAAGGACGAGGGUUGCGCUCGUUGCGGGACUUAACCCAACAUCUCACGACACGAGCUGACGACAGCCAUGCACCACCUGUGCACUGGCCCCGAAAGGCUGCCGUAUUUCUACGACAUUCCAGUGCAUGUCAAGCCUUGGUAAGGUUCUUCGCGUUGCGUCGAAUUAAGCAACAUGCUCCGCCGCUUGUGCGGGCCCCCGUCAAUUCCUCUGAGUUUUAGCCUUGCGGCCGUACUCCCCAGGCGGGGCGCUUAAUGCGUUAGCUACGGCACGGAGUCCGUGGAAGAACCCCACACCUAGCGCCCAACGUUUACGGCGUGGACUAC